rnacentral:rRNA from 1 species
UACGAAGGACCCGAGCGUUAUCCGGAUUUAUUGGGUUUAAAGGGUGCGUAGGCGGAUUAGUAAGUCAGUGGUGAAAGCCCGUCGCUUAACGGCGGAACUGCCAUUGAUACUGCUAGUCUUGAGUAUGGUUGAGGUGGGCGGAAUGUGUCAUGUAGCGGUGAAAUGCUUAGAUGUGACCCAGAACACCAAUUGCGAAGGCAGCUCGCUAAGCCAUAACUGACGCUGAGGCACGAAAGCGUGGGGAGCAAACAGG